CGUGUGAAGUCAUAAAAGGCUGGGAACUACCCAGCUCAGUGCUCAGGAAGUAGAGGCAUGUCUUCUGCCUGAGGACACACCAGGAGGCCAUUUAUCCCAUGGAACUUGGGACCCUCCAGGGAACCACAAACUUCUUGAGGGAAGACUGUUUUGCACAUCUUUGAAUCACUGAAACCAAGGAUGGGGCCCCAAAUGAGAUCAAUCUUAAAGAAAUGGCUACUGAAUAAAACUUCCCAAGUCCUAAGGACGCAUCUCCAGACAAUGAGUACAUCUCUAGAAGCAUGUCGCUGGUUUCAUUCUACAUCAGGACCCAAGAUGGCGUUUGGUUCCAAAAGGACUCCUCUGUGUGUGAGGAACUGUUCUGCAAUCUCCUGCUCGAGAGAUUCAUCAAGGGUGUUGAGAAACCCCUUCAGAUCUCCAAGGCUGUGUGUUGAUCACGCAAGAAAAGUUGGCAGAACCAAGUUUAUUAACCCUAAAUUUACCUAGCUCAUCUCACCCCCACUUCAAGAAAGAGGACACCAAGAUAAGAGGAACUAAAGUCAUUUUCAAGAUUUGUGGGAACAUCUGCUUGCCAGCUUUUUACAACACAAGCUCCAGGCCCUCUCCCCACAGUGGUGCUUGGCAUUCUCCAGUCAUCGUCCCAACUCUGGUCACCUGGAUUCUAGGAAAAGCAGCCUCAGAUGACUGAGAGUGCUCCAAACAAAUACAGUCAUCUGCAGGAACAGAAUCAGAAAUCGGAACUGAGAAAAAUGACUGUUUGGAUCCCGGCCCUCCAUGGUAGCCCAUAAAACAGGUCUCCAUUCUUUUGUGGAUGGACCAGGCUGAUCUUCUUCGUCACAGUGCCUCCCCUCCUCUAGCUACUACUCAAGCUGGGGCCCCUUCCCUUAUAAUCUCUUACUUUGCAAUUAAAGCUUUUGCCGGUCAAUUCACAGUCACUUUAGUUUUGAUUUCCAUUAUCACUAAAGUGAGCACCCACAGUGCCUGGGGACAUUAGGUUUGAUCAAGUUCUGGGGUGCAUGGAAUCACCCACGAGCCCGCGCUUCAGUAACUGUCCUGGAGAGUCUUUGCAGGUAUCACUUGAGCAUGCUGUGUCAACACCUGACUAAACUGGAUCGCCCCUUCUUGGCCUGAGGCCUGGCUUAGCAAUCACCACUUAGAGGGGGACUCUGUCAGUUUCUGGCACAGAUCAUCCCUGCCUGCUGGGCCUCUUUGAAGGGAGGAUGUAAUUCAUUUUGUCAACAUGAUGAGUACCAAGAGGAUGGGCACAGAGUACAACAAGGUGCCACUUCCAGCCCUGCCCAGGGCCACCACCCUCUUAACUGCCCCAGGUGCCUUCCCACUCUGUGCUCUGACUCCUCCCCCACCCUACUUCUCUGCCUCCAGCUUUUCAUUGAACUUCCCCGGCUUUCUGUUGACAUUAUAGAGGCCCCGUGUGUGCUCAGAUUCCAAAUUGCCCCAGUAGCUGGAUGGGCUGUCAGCUGUGGUUUAUGGUGACCCAUAGGAGGUGACAAACCCAGGCACCUCAGGUCUGCUAGAGCUGGGCCCCAUCGAAAAGACGACCCACAGAAAAGCCAGCAGUGGACAGCAGGGUCCACAGGAAGCUGCACCUCUGUCCCUGGGCUGGCCAGAGAGUAGCUGCGUGGCUGUGGAAACUGAAAGGCUGUGAAGAGGGACCAAGGUUGACCCCAGCUAGAAAGGCAGAGGCAGGAGAAAGAGGAAGCAUGGAGCAAUGUCUGAAAUGCAGAAACCAGGGAAACAGGGCCUCUGUUCAUCUGCAGGUGCCUCAUAUUCACUGCCAUCAACUCAGCAUUUCUUGUGAACAUGAAGCUGCCCACAAGGUAGACAGCAAGAGGCUCCAGCUGCUAGGAGAAGAAGUUUAAGACCCUGGUGGGACCCAGCCAGGACCCUGGUAGGACACAGUCAGAAACAGCUGAAUAGACUGCAAACCACCUUCCAUGCAUCCUUGGAAGUAUGGACAACAGAAACACC
ensembl:lincRNA